rnacentral:rRNA from 1 species
GGGGAAUAUUGCGCAAUGGGCGAAAGCCUGACGCAGCAACGCCGCGUGGGUGAAGAAGGCCUUCGGGUCGUAAAGCCCUGUCUUUUUGGACGAAGAUCCAGAUGGUUAAUAGCUAUUUGGGAUGACGGUACAAGAGAAGGAAGCCCCGGCUAACUACGUGCCAGCAGCCGCGGUAAAACGUAGGGGGCGAGCGUUGUCCGGAAUUACUGGGCGUAAAGCGCGUGUAGGCGGGUUUUUAAGUCGGGUGUGAAAACUCUGGGCUCAACCCAGAGACUGCAUCCGAAACUGGAGAUCUUGAGGGCGGGAGAGGAAAGUGGAAUUCCUAGUGUAGCGGUGAAAUGCGUAGAUAUUAGGAGGAACACCAGUGGCGAAGGCGGCUUUCUGGCCCGAACCUGACGCUGAGACGCGAAAGCGUGGGGAGCAAAC